rnacentral:rRNA from 1 species
GACGAACCGUGCGAACGUUAUUCGGAAUCACUGGGCUUAAAGCGCGUGUAGGCGGGCCGCCACGUCGGCUGCUGAAAUCCCCCGGCUCAACCGGGGAACGGGCACCGAUACGAGCGGCCUGGAGGGGGGUAGGGGGACCUGGAACUUCCGGUGGAGCGGUGAAAUGCGUUGAGAUCGGAAGGAACGCCCGUGGCGAAAGCGAGGUCCUGGACCCUUUCUGACGCUGAGACGCGAAAGCCAGGGGAGCGAACGGG